GGGCAAUUGGUUUAGUGGUAUAAUUUUCGCUUAGCAUGUGAAAGGUCCAGGGUUCGAUUCCCUGAUUGUCCA